UUCUUGCAUACUCCGAAAACUACAACGUGGUUGCUAAAGACACAUAAGCUUGGGUUUGGAAAAGACCAUUCGCAUACCUUAUUCCAAUCAGCUCCUCUUAGAGCCAGGUGGAAACUUCAGUCAAGGAAGACUUCAACUAUUCUGAAUAUCUUACCUUGUACAUUUCACAUAUAAAGAAGGCAUCCUUUUCAUUGACUAUAGGCAAGUUUUGGUGAAAAGGAAAUGAUUAAUCAGCUCAUCUUCUCAAGAGAUGACAUGACACAGAAGAACAUGGGAUUUGAAUUCACACAUGAGAUUUAGCUCACAUUUGUCCUAAGCUUUCUGCCAUGACUGUAGAAUUAAGUAAAUCACAUACCCUCUCCGUACUUUUGUUACCCUGUCCCUAAAAUGAAGAUAAUAAAACCUACUGUAUAGGAUGACUAUAGAGAUUAAAGGUACCCAACACAUAACCAGUGCUACAAAAUUGUCAACUCAUGUCACUCUGCUGGAUAUAGUAAAGUUCGACCAAAAUCUACUACAGUAGAUUUUGCAUUAAGAGGCUCAGGAACAUUUCAAUCUGAUGUUGGAGAUGAUGUGUGACUUUUCUAGUAUUUCCUGUGUACAUCUCAGCACAGUUCCAUGUGCAUGUUGGGAUAUCUACAUAUGUGAUGUUAACGUCAAUAUCCCUGCUAUAAAGACAGAAAUAUGGCAGACUAACAACAUCUCGAACGCUGAUUUCAUUCCCCACGUUGGUUUUGGCACGUUUUUGAAAAUUUUAGCUGCUUAAUGCAUUUCUGCCAAUAGACAAAAGCUCAACUGAUUUCAAAGCAUUUGCGGAUAAAGUUGUGACCACUGAAGUGUCAUUGAGAAUAAAUCUCUUAGACAUGGGUGUACUAAAGAGCUUGUCGAAAAAAAUGACAGUGUU
rnacentral:lncRNA from 1 species